rnacentral:rRNA from 1 species
UACGUAGGGUGCAAGCGUUAAUCGGAAUUACUGGGCGUAAAGCGUGCGCAGGCGGUUUUGUAAGUCAGAUGUGAAAUCCCCGGGCUUAACCUGGGAACUGCGUUUGAAACUACAAGGCUAGAGUGUGGCAGAGGGGGGUGGAAUUCCACGUGUAGCAGGUGAAAUGCGUAGAGAUGUGGAGGAACACCGAUGGCGAAGGCAGCCCCCUGGGUUAACACUGACGCUCAGGCACGAAAGCGUGGGGAGCAAACAGG